AUGGAAGCUGGGUUUUCUUCCUGAAAAUUGACAUUGGUAACUCUUUGUAAAUGCUCAUGUUCUUACAUAGAUAGGUUAGUGUUUCUCCUGUAUCACCAAGCAUCAGCAAUCAUCUCCAUGCCAGCUAGCUGUACCUGAUGUAUAUAAAUCAUUUGUGUAGGUAUUUGGCGGUUGUGUUUAGUAUAUAUCCUGUACAGAAGCCAUUUUUUGUCAAAUUGUCAUUGUAUAUUGCACUGAACUGGGGGAUCCCUUUGCCUCCAAAGCCCAAGUGACUAGUUAUUGAUUGUUGUCCUUGUAUUGUAUCUGGGUUGAGAUUCUUGAUGAUGUUUAUGAGUACUACUUUCAUCAGUCUGCAUAGUGUUGCUUCGUUAUUCACUUGUAGACCUAGUCUUCUCUUAAAAUAUUGUGGAAUAUGCGAGAACUGGUGGUAUGGUUUUGAUCUUAGCUGGGGCAAGUGUUUCUCUAUUCAGCUUUUCACUGAUAGCCUAUCUCAAUUGUAUUUUUGUUCCAUUCUUGAGAUUAAAGUGAUUUCCAGGCAUUACUUUAUUUAGAAUGUACAUAAGCCAUACGAAAUGAGCAACAAAUUCUGCAUCAACUCUUCACUUGCUAAGAUGGUUCAAAGUUAAAGCUUCAAAGUAAACUGCAAAUGAGGUAAUUUUCUUGUUGAUUAUUUAUUUCCCAGAAACCAGAAAAGUUUAAUUUCAUAACUUUUUAAGGAAGCUGCCAAACUCAAAGUUAGUGCUGCUAUGAUUGGUGGAUGUAUUAUGUGAAUCAAAUUCUUGUGAUUUGCAACCAAUGAAAUGCGAGUAUAGGAUGAAUUAUGCAUACCAUUGUAGUGCAUGUUAUGUGUAUACAUCAAUUUUCUUAUUCUGCAACUUUAUUGUGUUUUAUUUAUUCUGGUGGCUUUCUAUUCUUUUGUCUAUUAUUGGAUUACCAAUUUGUUUAUGCGCUAUUUUUAGCUUUUCAUCUGUCCCCUUCAAUGUUUUCUUUUGGAGCUUUCAGAAUUCAGAGUCUAGUAAUAUCAUUGUCAAAAAAAUGGUUAUUUUAUUAUUUUUAGG
rnacentral:misc_RNA from 1 species